rnacentral:rRNA from 1 species
UACCCGCGGCCCGAGUGGUGCUCAUUAUUAUUGAGCCUAAAGCGUCCGUAGCUGGUCGGGCAAAUCUCCGGGUAAAUCGGGCGGCUCAACCGUCCGAACGCCGGAGACACUGCUCGACUUGGGAUCGGGAGAGGGAGAAGGUACUCCCUGGGUAGGGGUAAAAUCCUGUAAUCCGGGGGGGACCACCAGUGGCGAAGGCGUUCUCCUAGAACGAAUCCGACAGUGAGGGACGAAGCCCUAGGGCGCAAACGGG